AGCGAACGCUGGCGGCAGGCCUAACACAUGCAAGUCGAACGAAGCCUUCGGACUUAGUGGCGGACGGGUGAGUAACACGUGGGAACGUACCUUUUGGUUCGGGACAACUCAGGGAAACUUGAGCUAAUACCGGAUGAGCCCUUAGGGGGAAAGAUUUAUCGCCGAAAGAGCGGCCCGCGUUAGAUUAGCUAGUUGGUGAGGUAAAGGCUCACCAAGGCUACGAUCUAUAGCUGGUCUGAGAGGAUGAUCAGCCACACUGGGACUGAGACACGGCCCAGACUCCUACGGGAGGCAGCAGUGGGGAAUCUUGCGCAAUGGGCGAAAGCCUGACGCAGCCAUGCCGCGUGAAUGAUGAAGGUCUUAGGAUUGUAAAAUUCUUUUACCAGGGACGAUAAUGACGGUACCUGGAGAAAAAGCCCCGGCUAACUUCGUGCCAGCAGCCGCAGUAAGAC
rnacentral:rRNA from 1 species